rnacentral:rRNA from 1 species
CCCUGUAUCCAGCCAUGCCGCGCUGAGGUGAUGAAGGCCCUAGGGCUUGUAAAGCCCUUUCACCGGGGAAGAUAAUGACGGUAACCGGAGAAGAAGCCCCGGCCUAACUUCGUGCCAGCUAGCCGCGGUAAUACGAGGGGGCUAGCGUUGUUCGGAUUUACUGGGCGUAAAGCGCACGUAGGCGGACUUUUAAGUCAGGGGUGAAAUCCCGGGGCUCAACCCCGGAACUGCCUUUGAUACUGGAAGUCUUGAGUAUGGUAGAGGUGAGUGGAAUUCCGAGUGUAGAGGUGAAAUUCGUAUAUAUUCGGAGGAACACCAGUGGCGAAGGCGGCUCACUGGACCAUUACUGACGCUGAGGUGCGAAACCGUGGGGAGUAACCAGGAUUAUAUACCCUGGUAGUCCACGCCGUAUACAAUGAAUGUUUAUCCGUUGCGAAGUUUACUCUUC